CGUAGUUUGUUAUAUUCACAAGGGGAGCAUGCACUUUUCAGGAUAGACCUAGCAUUUGCUGUGUGACUUAUCAACUACCGAUAAGCACUUGGACGUUCUUUUGGCUUUAGAACCGGUGGGCCUAUUGACUGUGCAGUAAACUCUUCAGUAUAAAGAAAACAACUGAUCAUACUUCACAAUGAAAGUUCUCUUCUGUGUAAGAAUGUAAUUCGGCGAAUGCAGUUUAACUUUGAGGCACGAAAAGGGGAUCUGAAUACAAACUUUUAAUCUCUAAUUGAAACCACAAAGCGAACGGAAGAAACUUUCCAAAAUGAAAAGACAACUAAAUCAAAUCCCUGAAAAUGAGGCACCAGCGGAAUAGAUCACAAAGCAAUCACUGCGAUGAAUGUACAACUUAAGUUGUAUUCUUUCAAAGUUCCAGAACGAAAAUGUGAGGAGUUUUUUUUGUGUAAAAAUGUCAUAAAGACAAACACAGAGCAUUCAGAAAAUGGUGUAAAAUGAGUUAAAACCCGAAAUCUUAGACAGUUGCGCCUUUGUAAAGUGAGACUGCGACUGCGACCAAGGGCAGCAAGACGGGGUUUUCGCUGACUAAAGUGUGGAGAUAUGUAAAUAUGUUCUGUUUAGCUGACUGAGUGCACCAUUUACAGACUAAUCCCAUGUAUUUAAACAAGUACAGACGAAUAUUUCUUAAGGUCAGUUGCGUUAAGUGCUUAAUAGAUAACUGAGCGAUAUUGAGGACUACGCACAGCUUGCAAGCUUUCACAUAACUAAUUUGGUGCGCACGUCAGAUUUCAUUGAAAGUUGCAGUUCCGAUUUCUGUAUAUGAUACCUUGUUGCACACAUACACUAUGCUUUAGAGAAAUAAAAUUUAUGCAUUGUAA